CAUGGAUGCGGUGCUCCUUGUCAUUGCACAGACCUUCAUGGACGCCUGCACCCUGGCCGACCACAAGCUGGGCCGGGACUCCCCGAUCAACAAACUUCUGUAUGCACGGGACAUUCCCCGGUACAAGCGGAUGGUGGAAAGGUACUAUGCAGACAUCAGACAGACUGUCCCAGCCAGCGACCAAGAGAUGAACUCUGUCCUGGCUGAACUGUCCUGGGUAAGGCCUCCCUCUGCUUCUUGGGUUGGGCAUAGGCCUCCUGCCACAACGGUCCUGCCCCCUUCACACUGCCCCUUUGCAGGGAAGCCCUUGGGAACCU
rnacentral:sRNA from 1 species